rnacentral:rRNA from 1 species
CCCUUAGAUGUUCUGGGCCGCACGCGUGCUACACUGACCGGCGCAACAAGUUUCUUUCCUUGGCUCGAUAGGCCUGGGUAAUCUUUGAACGCCGGUCGUGAUGGGGAUAGAUCCUUGCAAUUUUUGAUCUUCAACGAGGAAUUCCUAGUAAAUGCGAGUCAUCAUCUCGCGUUGAUUACGUCCCUGCCCUUUGUACACACCGCCCGUCGCACCUACCGAUUGAAUGAUCCGGUGAAGCCUCGGGAUUGCGAAUGCUUCGUGCGGACGCGAGAACUUGGCUAAACCUUACCAUUUAGAGGAAGGUGAAGUCGUAACA